rnacentral:rRNA from 1 species
UACGGAGGAUCCAAGCGUUAUCCGGAUUUAUUGGGUUUAAAGGGUGCGUAGGCGGAUUAGUAAGUCAGUGGUGAAAGCCUGCAGCUUAACUGUAGAAUUGCCAUUGAUACUGCUAGUCUUGAGUACAUUUGAGGUGGGCGGAAUAUGACAUGUAGCGGUGAAAUGCUUAGAUAUGUCAUAGAACACCGAUUGCGAAGGCAGCUCACUAAACUGUUACUGACGCUGAGGCACGAAAGCGUGGGGAGCAAACAGG